GGCGACGUAGCUCAGUUGGUGAGAGCGCGCGAUUCAUAAUCGCGAGGUCGACAGUUCAAGUCUGUCCGUCGCUA
rnacentral:tRNA from 1 species